rnacentral:rRNA from 1 species
UACGUAGGGUGCGAGCGUUGUCCGGAAUUAUUGGGCGUAAAGAGCUUGUAGGCGGUCUGUCGCGUCUGCUGUGAAAAUCCGGGGCUCAACCCCGGACUUGCAGUGGGUACGGGCAGACUAGAGUGUGGUAGGGGAGACUGGAAUUCCUGGUGUAGCGGUGAAAUGCGCAGAUAUCCGGAGGAACACCGAUGGCGAAGGCAGGUCUCUGGGCCGAUACUGACGCUGAGGAGCGAAAGCGUGGGGAGCGAACAGG